rnacentral:rRNA from 1 species
CGAACGGGUGAGUAACACGUGGGCAAUCUGCCCUUCACUCUGGGACAAGCCCUGGAAACGGGGUCUAAUACCGGAUAACACUCUGUCCUGCAUGGGACGGGGUUGAAAGCUCCGGCGGUGAAGGAUGAGCCCGCGGCCUAUCAGCUUGUUGGUGGGGUAAUGGCCUACCAAGGCGACGACGGGUAGCCGGCCUGAGAGGGCGACCGGCCACACUGGGACUGAGACACGGCCCAGACUCCUACGGGAGGCAGCAGUGGGGAAUAUUGCACAAUGGGCGAAAGCCUGAUGCAGCGACGCCGCGUGAGGGAUGACGGCCUUCGGGUUGUAAACCUCUUUCAGCAGGGAAGAAGCGCAAGUGACGGUACCUGCAGAAGAAGCGCCGGCUAACUACGUGCCAGCAGCCGCGGUAAUACGUAGGGCGCAAGCGUUGUCCGGAAUUAUUGGGCGUAAAGAGCUCGUAGGCGGCUUGUCACGUCGGAUGUGAAAGCCCGGGGCUUAACCCCGGGUCUGCAUUCGAUACGGGCUAGCUAGAGUGUGGUAGGGGAGAUCGGAAUUCCUGGUGUAGCGGUGAAAUGCGCAGAUAUCAGGAGGAACACCGGUGGCGAAGGCGGAUCUCUGGGCCAUUACUGACGCUGAGGAGC